rnacentral:rRNA from 1 species
UCCAACCCAUGUGACGUUACCAAACUGUUGCCUCGGCGGGAUCUCUGCCCCGGGUGCGUCGCAGCCCCGGACCAAGGCGCCCGCCGGAGGACCAACCAAAACUCUUAUUGUAUACCCCCUCGCGGGUUUUUUUAUAAUCUGAGCCUUCUCGGCGCCUCUCGUAGGCGUUUCGAAAAUGAAUCAAAACUUUCAACAACGGAUCUCUUGGUUCUGGCAUCGAUGAAGAACGCAGCGAAAUGCGAUAAGUAAUGUGAAUUGCAGAAUUCAGUGAAUCAUCGAAUCUUUGAACGCACAUUGCGCCCGCCAGUAUUCUGGCGGGCAUGCCUGUCCGAGCGUCAUUUCAACCCUCGAACCCCUCCGGGGGGUCGGCGUUGGGGAUCGGCCCUCCCUUAGCGGGUGGCCGUCUCCGAAAUACAGUGGCGGUCUCGCCGCAGCCUCUCCUGCGCAGUAGUUUGCACACUCGCAUCGGGAGCGCGGCGCGUCCACAGCCGUUAAACACCCAACUUCUGAAAUGUUGACCUCGGAUCAGGUAGGAAUACCCGCUGAACUUAAGCAUAUCAAUAAGCGGAGGAA